rnacentral:rRNA from 1 species
AAGGAACUAACAAGGAUUCCCCUAGUAACUGCGAGUGAAGCGGGAAAAGCUCAAAUUUAAAAUCUGGUAGUCUCUGGCUGCCCGAGUUGUAAUCUAGAGAAGUGUUAUCCGCGCUGGACCGUGUAUAAGUCUCCUGGAAUGGAGCGUCAUAGAGGGUGAGAAUCCCGUCUUUGACACGGACUACCAGGGCUUUGUGAUGCGCUCUCAAAGAGUCGAGUUGUUUGGGAAUGCAGCUCUAAAUGGGUGGUAAAUUCCAUCUAAAGCUAAAUAUUGGCGAGAGACCGAUAGCGAACAAGUACCGUGAGGGAAAGAUGAAAAGAACUUUGGAAAGAGAGUUAAACAGUACGUGAAAUUGUUGAAAGGGAAACGCUUGAAGUCAGUCGCGUUGGCUAGGAAUCAGCCUUGCUUUUGCUUGGUGUACUUCCUUGUUGACGGGUCAGCAUCAAUUUUGACCGGUGGAAAAAGACUAGUGGAAUGUGGCAUCUUCGGAUGUGUUAUAGCUGCUAGUUGUAUACAUCGGUUGGGAUUGAGGAACUCAGCACGCCGAAAGGUCGGGGUUCGCCCACGUUCGUGCUUAGGAUGCUGGCAUAAUGGCUUUAAUCGACCCGUCUUGAAACACGGACCAAGGAGUCUAACAUGCCUGCGAGUGUUUGGGUGGAAAACCCGAGCGCGUAAUGAAAGUGAAAGUUGAGAUCCCUGUCGUGGGGAGCAUCGACGCCCGGACCAGACCUUCUGUGACGGAUCCGCGGUAGAGCAUGUAUGUUGGGACCCGAAAGAUGGUGAACUAUGCCUGAAUAGGGUGAAGCCAGAGGAAACUCUGGUGGAGGCUCGUAGCGAUUCUGACGUGCAAAUCGAUCGUCAAAUUUGGGUAUAGGGGCGAAAGACUAAUCGAACCAUCUAG